UAUUAUAAUAAACGUGGUCUCAUUCCAUACACCUGGCCUAAAGUUUUAAAGUCAGUUUUGUAAAUAUCACAAUUUUCAGUCAGGGACAAGAGAAAAAAGACUUCCGACAGGACCAUGGUGGCAAAGAUGGAGGAGUCAUGCCAAGUGGCCCUGAAGCAGUUGCACAGUGCCAUGACUGGACUCAAGAUUGGACUGCACUCAGGGAACCCUGUUAUCCCCGCCCAGGCAUACCUGUCACCAGUGCUUUAUCUCUAAGACCCUCCAACAGCUGUCAGUUGACAAGAUGCUCAACAUGUAAUACAACUAAUCCCUCAAAGCCAACAAGAACGUGGAGGCCAGCUCAGCCCUGAAAACUAGUUUGACCAACGUUAACCUCACGAUGACUAUCCAUAAUAGUGUUGAAAGUCAGGCUUUGCUUAUCUUAAACAACAACAGCGGGGACUGACCAAGUGCUCACAAUGAUCUGUAAUGUACCCAUGACUUGGUUUGACCCAACUUUAGUCAGGCUUCUCUCCUCCUCACAGGCCCCUGAACUUUGGCUCACCCCCACGCUUAAGAAAGCACUAAGAUGCUGACAUCUCCCUCCCCACCCCCUUACAGCUCAUUCUGAGAAUCAACUAACCACGCACAGAAACAUUUCCUGUUAAACCAUCAUGCUGUCUGCUUGCCCCCACCACUUGCUGCCCACCAAGUUCCUGCUAUCCUUGAUUACCCUUCCCUAUGAAAGAAACACCUUUUUCUGUUCAGUUUUGAAACAC